CGUGAGCAACCUGCCCUAGGCUUUGGGAUAACCCCGGGAAACCGGGGCUAAUACCGAAUAGGACCUCUGACCGCAUGGUUGGUGGUGGAAAGUUUUUCGGCCUGGGAUGGGCUCGCGGCCUAUCAGCUUGUUGGUGGGGUGAUGGCCUACCAAGGCGACGACGGGUAGCCGGCCUGAGAGGGCGACCGGCCACACUGGGACUGAGACACGGCCCAGACUCCUACGGGAGGCAGCAGUGGGGAAUAUUGCACAAUGGGCGGAAGCCUGAUGCAGCGACGCCGCGUGAGGGAUGACGGCCUUCGGGUUGUAAACCUCUUUCAGCAGGGACGAAGCGUAAGUGACGGUACCUGCAGAAGAAGCACCGGCCAACUACGUGCCAGCAGCCGCGGUAAGACGUAGGGUGCGAGCGUUGUCCGGAUUUAUUGGGCGUAAAGAGCUCGUAGGCGGCUUGUCGCGUCGACUGUGAAAACCCGCAGCUCAACUGCGGGCCUGCAGUCGAUACGGGCA
rnacentral:rRNA from 1 species